UACGGAGGAUCCGAGCGUUAUCCGGAUUUAUUGGGUUUAAAGGGUGCGCAGGCGGGGGAUUAAGUCGGCGGUGAAAUUUUGCAGCUUAACUGUAACAGUGCCGUUGAUACUGGGGAGCUAGGAUUUGGUUGCUGUGGGUGGAAUGUGUGGUGUAGCGGUGAAAUGCUUAGAUAUCACGAGGAACUCCGAUUGCGCAGGCAGCUUACUAAACUACUACUGACGCUCAGGCACGAAGGAGUGGGGAUCAAACAGGAUUAGAUACCCCUGUA
rnacentral:rRNA from 1 species